rnacentral:rRNA from 1 species
AUGACCUGUGGCUGGGGGUGAAAGGCCAAUCAAACCGGGAGAUAGCUGGUUCUCCCCGAAAGCUAUUUAGGUAGCGCCUCGUGAAUUCAUCUCCGGGGGUAGAGCACUGUUUCGGCUAGGGGGCCAUCCCGGCUUACCAACCCGAUGCAAACUGCGAAUACCGGAGAAUGUUAUCACGGGAGACACACGGCGGGUGCUAACGUCCGUCGUGAAGAGGGAAACAACCCAGACCGCCAGCUAAGGUCCCAAAGUCAUGGUUAAGUGGGAAACGAUGUGGGAAGGCCCAGACAGCCAGGAUGUUGGCUUAGAAGCAGCCAUCAUUUAAAGAAAGCGUAAUAGCUCACUGGUCGAGUCGGCCUGCGCGGAAGAUGUAACGGGGCUAAACCAUGCACCGAAGCUGCGGCAGCGACACUUUAGUGUUGUUGGGUAGGGGAGCGUUCUGUAAGCCGUUGAAGGUGUCCUGUGAGGGGUGCUGGAGGUAUCAGAAGUGCGAAUGCUGACAUAAGUAACGAUAAAGCGGGUGAAAAGCCCGCUCGCCGGAAGACCAAGGGUUCCUGUCCAACGUUAAUCGGGGCAGGGUGAGUCGACCCCUAAGGCGAGGCCGAAAGGCGUAGUCGAUGGGAAACGGGUUAAUAUUCCCGUACUUGGUGUUACUGCGAAGGGGGGACGGAGAAGGCUAUGUUGGCCGGGCGACGGUUGUCCCGGUUUAAGCGUGUAGGUGUGUGUUCCAGGUAAAUCCGGUUCACUUUAACACUGAGGCGUGAUGACGAGGCACCACGGUGCUGAAGCAACAAAUGCCCUGCUUCCAGGAAAAGCCUCUAAGCAUCAGGUAACAUCAAAUCGUACCCCAAACCGACACAGGUGGUCAGGUAGAGAAUACCAAGGCGCUUGAGAGAACUCGGGUGAAGGAACUAGGCAAAAUGGUGCCGUAACUUCGGGAGAAGGCACGCUGACACGUAGGUGAAGUGAUUUACUCAUGGAGCUGAAGUCAGUCGAAGAUACCAGCUGGCUGCAACUGUUUAUUAAAAACACAGCACUGUGCAAACACGAAAGUGGACGUAUACGGUGUGACGCCUGCCCGGUGCCGGAAGGUUAAUUGAUGGGGUCAGCGCAAGCGAAGCUCCUGAUCGAAGCCCCGGUAAACGGCGGCCGUAACUAUAACGGUCCUAAGGUAGCGAAAUUCCUUGUCGGGUAAGUUCCGACCUGCACGAAUGGCGUAAUGAUGGCCAGGCUGUCUCCACCCGAGACUCAGUGAAAUUGAACUCGCUGUGAAGAUGCAGUGUACCCGCGGCAAGACGGAAAGACCCCGUGAACCUUUACUAUAGCUUGACACUGAACAUUGAGCCUUGAUGUGUAGGAUAGGUGGGAGGCUUUGAAGCGUGGACGCCAGUCUGCGUGGAGCCGACCUUGAAAUACCACCCUUUAAUGUUUGAUGUUCUAACGUGGACCCGUAAUCCGGGUUGCGGACAGUGUCUGGUGGGUAGUUUGACUGGGGCGGUCUCCUCCUAAAGAGUAACGGAGGAGCACGAAGGUUGGCUAAUCCUGGUCGGACAUCAGGAGGUUAGUGCAAUGGCAUAAGCCAGCUUGACUGCGAGCGUGACGGCGCGAGCAGGUGCGAAAGCAGGUCAUAGUGAUCCGGUGGUUCUGAAUGGAAGGGCCAUCGCUCAACGGAUAAAAGGUACUCCGGGGAUAACAGGCUGAUACCGCCCAAGAGUUCAUAUCGACGGCGGUGUUUGGCACCUCGAUGUCGGCUCAUCACAUCCUGGGGCUGAAGUAGGUCCCAAGGGUAUGGCUGUUCGCCAUUUAAAGUGGUACGCGAGCUGGGUUUAGAACGUCGUG